rnacentral:rRNA from 1 species
GUGAGGAAUAUUGCGCAAUGGAGGCAACUCUGACGCAGCCAUGCCGCGUGCAGGAAGAAGGCGCUACGCGUUGUAAACUGCUUUUAACCGGGAAGAAACCCCAGGACGUGUCCUGGGUUGACGGUACCGGAGGAAUAAGCACCGGCUAACUUCGUGCCAGCAGCCGCGGUAAUACGAAGGGUGCAAGCGUUAUCCGGAUUCAUUGGGUUUAAAGGGUGCGUAGGCGGAGCGUUAAGUCAGUGGUGAAAUCCUGCAGCUUAACUGUAGACUUGCCAUUGAUACUGGCGCUCUUGAGUGCGCUUGAAGUGGGCGGAAUGUGCCGUGUAGCGGUGAAAUGCUUAGAUAUGGCACAGCACACCAAUUGCGAAGGCAGCUCACUAAGGCGAUACUGACGCUGAGGCACGAAAGCGUGGGGAUCGAACAGGAUUAGAAACCCGGGUAGUCC